AUGCACGCUGACAGAAUGCUUAACACAUGCAAGUCUACUUGAAUUUGGGUUUUUUAACUUAGAUUUGGGUGGCGGACGGGUGAGUAACGCGUAAAGAACUUGCCUCACAGCUAGGGACAACAUUUGGAAACGAAUGCUAAUACCUGAUAUUAUGAUUAUAAGGCAUCUUAGAAUUAUGAAAGCUAUAUGCGCUGUGAGAGAGCUUUGCGUCCCAUUAGCUAGUUGGAGAGGUAACGGCUCACCAAGGCGAUGAUGGGUAGCCGGCCUGAGAGGGUGAACGGCCACAAGGGGACUGAGACACGGCCCUUACUCCUACGGGAGGCAGCAGUGGGGAAUAUUGGACAAUGGACCAAGAGUCUGAUCCAGCAAUUCUGUGUGCACGAUGACGUUUUUCGGAAUGUAAAGUGCUUUCAGUUGGGAAGAAAAAAAUGACGGUACCAACAGAAGAAGUGACGGCUAAAUACGUG
rnacentral:rRNA from 1 species